rfam:Rattus norvegicus chromosome 1, whole genome shotgun sequence.
UGAUCAAUCAGGCUGCUGGCUAUAUUCCAGGACUUAACUGAUCCCGGGUAUAACCAAAACCUGAUUCUAUG